AUUGAACGCUGGCGGCAGGCUUAACACAUGCAAGUCGAGCGGAGCGAGGGUGCUUGCACCUUAGCUUAGCGGCGGACGGGUGAGUAAUGCUUAGGAAUCUGCCUAUUAGUGGGGGACAACAUUCCGAAAGGAAUGCUAAUACCGCAUACGCCCUACGGGGGAAAGCAGGGGAUCUUCGGACCUUGCGCUAAUAGAUGAGCCUAAGUCGGAUUAGCUAGUUGGUGGGGUAAAGGCCUACCAAGGCGACGAUCUGUAGCGGGGCUGAGAGGAUGAUCCGCCACACUGGGAGUGAGACACGGCCCAGACUCCUACGGGGGGCAGCAGUGGGGAAUAUUGGAAAAUGGGCGGGAGCCUGAUCCAGCCAUGCCGCGUGUGUGAAGAAGGCCUUUUGGUUGUAAAGCACUUUAAGCGAGGAGGAGGCUCUUAAGGUUAAUACCCUUGAUGAGUGGACGUUACUCGCAGAAUAAGCACCGGCUAACUCUGUGCCAGCAGCCGCCGUAAUAC
rnacentral:rRNA from 1 species